UCUGGGAUAACUUCGGGAAACCGGGGCUAAUGCCGGAUAACAUUUAGAACCGCAUGGUUCUAAAGUGAAAGAUGGUUUUGCUAUCACUUAUAGAUGGACCCGCGCUGUAUUAGCUAGUUGGUAAGGUAAUGGCUUACCAAGGCAACGAUACGUAGCCGACCUGAGAGGGUGAUCGGCCACACUGGAACUGAGACACGGUCCAGACUCCUACGGGAGGCAGCAGUAGGGAAUCUUCCGCAAUGGGCGAAAGCCUGACGGAGCAACGCCGCGUGAGUGAUGAAGGGUUUCGGCUCGUAAAACUCUGUUAUUAGGGAAGAACAAACGUGUAAGUAACUGUGCACGUCUUGACGGUACCUAAUCAGAAAGCCACGGCUAACUACGUGCCAGCAGCCGCGGUAAUACGUAGGUGGCAAGCGUUAUCCGGAAUUAUUGGGCGUAAAGCGCGCGUAGGCGGUUUCUUAAGUCUGAUGUGAAAGCCCACGGCUCAACCGUGGAGGGUCAUUGGAAACUGGGAAACUUGAGUGCAGAAGAGGAAAGUGGAAUUCCAUGUGUAGCGGUGAAAUGCGCAGAGAUAUGGAGGAACACCAGUGGCGAAGGCGACUUUCUGGUCUGUAACUGACGCUGAUGUGCGAAAGCGUGGGGAUCGAACAGGAUUAGAUACCCUGGUAGUCCACGCCGUAAGCGAUGAGUGCUAAGUGUUAGGGGGUUUCCGCCCCUUAGUGCUGCAGCUAACGCAUUAAGCACUCCGCCUGGGGAGUACGACCGCAAGGUUGAAACUCAGAG
rnacentral:rRNA from 1 species